CGUUCCCAUACCGAACACGGAAGUUAAGCUCUCUAGCGCCGAUGGUAGUUGGGACCUUGUCCCUGUGAGAGUAGGACGUCGCCAAGCA
rnacentral:rRNA from 17 species